rnacentral:rRNA from 1 species
AGUGAACGCUGGCGGUAGGCCUAACACAUGCAAGUCGAACGGCAGCACAGUAAGAGCUUGCUCUUACGGGUGGCGAGUGGCGGACGGGUGAGGAAUACAUCGGAAUCUACUUUUUCGUGGGGAUAACGUAGGGAAACUUACGCUAAUACCGCAUACGACCUACGGGUGAAAGCAGGGGAUCUUCGGACCUUGCGCGAUUGAAUGAGCCGAUGUCGGAUUAGCUAGUUGGCGGGGUAAAGGCCCACCAAGGCGACGAUCCGUAGCUGGUCUGAGAGGAUGAUCAGCCACACUGGAACUGAGACACGGUCCAGACUCCUACGGGAGGCAGCAGUGGGGAAUAUUCGGCAAUGGGCGCAAGCCUGAUCCAGCCAUACCGCGUGGGUGAAGAAGGCCUUCGGGUUGUAAAGCCCUUUUGUUGGGAAAGAAAAGCAGCAGGUUAAUACCCCGCUGUUCUGACGGUACCCAAAGAAUAAGCACCGGCUAACUUCGUG